rnacentral:rRNA from 1 species
GCCUAGCCGUAAAAUUUGAUAAUAAUCUACAACUAUUAUCCGCCAGGGUACUACAAGCGCCAGCUUAAAACCCAAAGGACUUGGCGGUGCUUCAGACCCACCUAGAGGAGCCUGUCCUAGAACCGAUAACCCCCGUUAAACCUCACCUUUUCUUGUUAUUUCCGCCUAUAUACCGCCGUCGUCAGCACACCUUGUGAAAGAAAAAUAGUAUGCAAAAUGGACAAAAUCCAGAACGUCAGGUCGAGGUGUAGCGAAUGAAAAGGGAAGAGAUGGGCUACAUUCCCUAAAGUAGGGGACCACGGAAGGGGCUGUGAAACCGGCACCUGAAGGUGGAUUUAGCAGUAAGUAAAAAUUAGAGUAUUUUACUGAAACUGGCUCUGAAGCGCGC